GACGGGGGGGGCAAGUGUUCUUCGGAAUGACUGGGCGUAAAGCGUGUGUAGGCGGCUACGCAAGUCGGAUGUGAAAGCCCUGGGCUCAACUCAGGAAGUGCACCCGAUACUGCGCAGCUAGAGUACCGGAGAGGUUGGUAGAAUUCUCGGUGUAGAGGUGAAAUUCGUAGAUAUCGAGAGGAAUACCUGUGGCGAAGGCGGCCAACUGGACGAGUACUGACGCUGAGACACGAAAGCGUGGGGAGCAAACAGG
rnacentral:rRNA from 1 species